UACGGGGGGGGGCUAGCGUUGCUCGGAAUCACUGGGCGUAAAGCGCACGUAGGCGGAUCGCUAAGUCAGGGAUGAAAUCCUGGAGCUCAACUCCAGAACUGCCUUUGAUACUGGCAAUCUCGAGUCCGGGAGAGGUGAGUGGAACUGCGAAGUGUAGAGGUGAAAUUCGUAGAUAUUCGCAAGAACACCAGUGGGCGAAGGCGGCUCACUGGCCCGGUACUGACGCUGAGGUGCGAAAAGCG
rnacentral:rRNA from 1 species